rnacentral:rRNA from 11 species
GUUUAUUCCUAAAUAUCCUGGUGUCACUAGAUCCUACCUUCCCCUAAAAGCUAAGCAGGAUCAGCCCUGGUUAGUACUUGGGCAGGAAACUGUCAAGAAAUAUCAGAUGCUGUAGCCU